rnacentral:rRNA from 1 species
UUAGAACGUCGUGAGACAGUUCGGUCCCUAUCUGCCGUGGGCGUUGGAAGAUUGAAAGGGGCUGCUCCUAGUACGAGAGGACCGGAGUGGACGCACCACUGGUGUUCGGGUUGUCAUGCCAAUGGCAUUGCCCGGUAGCUAAGUGCGGAAGAGAUAACCGCUGAAAGCAUCUAAGCGGGAAACUUGCCUUGAGAUGAGUCUUCCCUGACCCUUAAAGGGUCCUAAAGGAACGUUUAAGACUAAGACGUUGAUAGGUUGGGUGUGUAAGCGUAGCGAUACGUUGAGCUAACCAAUACUAAUGAACCGUGAGGCUUAACCUGACAACACCGAAGGUGUUUUAG